GCCAGGCAUGGUAGCGCGUGCCUGUAAUCCCAGCUGCUUGGGAGGCUGAGGCACAAGAAUCGCUUGAACCCAGGAGGCAGAGGUUGCAGUGAGCUGAGAUCGCACCACUGCACUCCAGCCUGGGCAAAAGAGUGAGACUUUGUCUCAA
rnacentral:SRP_RNA from 2 species